rnacentral:tRNA from 1 species
UCCUUCGUAGUGUAGUGGUCAGCACGUUCGACACGUAGUCGAGAGGUCCAUGGUUCGAGUCCCGGCGAGAGCA